AUUGAACGCUGGCGGAAUGCUUUACACAUGCAAGUCGAACGGUAGAGGGGCAACCCUUGAGAGUGGCGAACGGGUGAGUAAUGUAUCGGAACAUGCCCAGUCGUGGGGGAUAACGUAGCGAAAGUUACGCUAAUACCGCAUACGAUCUAUGGAUGAAAGCGGGGGAUCGCAAGACCUCGCGCGAUUGGAGUGGCCGAUAUCAGAUUAGGUAGUUGGUGGGGUAAAGGCCUACCAAGCCGACGAUCUGUGGCUGGUCUGAGAGGACGACCAGCCACACUGGGACUGAGACACGGCCCAGACUCCUACGGGAGGCAGCAGUGGGGAAUUUUGGACAAUGGGCGCAAGCCUGAUCCAGCCAUUCCGCGUGCAGGAAGAAGGCCUUCGGGUUGUAAACUGCUUUUGUACGGAACGAAACGCGCUGAGCUAAUACCUCGGCGUAAUGACGGUACCGUAAGAAUAAGCACCGGCUAACUACGUGCCAGCAGCCGCUGUAA
rnacentral:rRNA from 1 species